AGCUACCACCCCAAAUGGCCAUGAAAUGCACGCUACUCACCUAGCAUGCAAACAUCAACAACAACAAUCAAAAUGAUUUACUCACUAAUUCCUCACCAUGGGAAUUAGCUACCACCCCAAAUGGGCCACAACAUGCAUGCUAAUCACCUAGCAAUGCAACAUCAAUAAUAAUCAAGAAUAGACACAUGCUCACACUCUAAGCCAUAAUACAGUCUAUUCAC
rnacentral:lncRNA from 1 species